GUCCUGUUAGCUCAAUUGGAUAGAGCAACGCCCUUCUAAGGCGUAGGUUUUGGGUUCAAAUCCCGAACGGGACA
rnacentral:tRNA from 1 species